rnacentral:rRNA from 2 species
CUGAUCCAGCCAUACCGCGUGGGUGAAGAAGGCCUUCGGGUUGUAAAGCCCUUUUGUUGGGAAAGAAAUCCAGCUGGCUAAUACCCGGUUGGGAUGACGGUACCCAAAGAAUAAGCACCGGCUAACUUCGUGCCAGCAGCCGCGGUAAUACGAAGGGUGCAAGCGUUACUCGGAAUUACUGGGCGUAAAGCGUGCGUAGGUGGUCGUUUAAGUCCGUUGUGAAAGCCCUGGGCUCAACCUGGGAACUGCAGUGGAUACUGGGCGACUAGAGUGUGGUAGAGGGUAGCGGAAUUCCUGGUGUAGCAGUGAAAUGCGUAGAGAUCAGGAGGAACAUCCAUGGCGAAGGCAGCUACCUGGACCAACACUGACACUGAGGCACGAAAGCGUGGGGAGCAAACAGGAUUAGAUACCCUGGUAGUCCACGCCCUAAACGAUGCGAACUGGAUGUUGGGUGCAAUUUGGCACGCAGUAUCGAAGCUAACGCGUUAAGUUCGCCGCCUGGGGAGUACGGUCGCAAGACUGAAACUCAAAGGAAUUGACGGGGGCCCGCACAAGCGGUGGAGUAUGUGGUUUAAUUCGAUGCAACGCGAAGAACCUUACCUGGCCUUGACAUGUCGAGAACUUUCCAGAGAUGGAUUGGUGCCUUCGGGAACUCGAACACAGGUGCUGCAUGGCUGUCGUCAGCU